ACUAUUCAUUUGGAGUUGGAUCUGUAAUGAACGCCAUGGAUUCCUUCGGAUUGCAGAGGAGUGGUCAAGAUGAUAACCCGACAGUGUACGGUCGAACUGGUGACGAUACAGGGAAUGCCGUCUCAUCUACUCUUCAUUACACUCUGCUUCUCAUCCCUGCACUCCUGGCUGUCUUUCUGGUGUGAAGUCACUGUGACUGUCAUCUGUUUACCCCACGUUUUUUCUGCAAAUAUUAAUGGGGACAGUUUAGAAAUGAUCUUAUGUCACAUCCGAAAUUAUCUAUUUGUUUGACAAUUUCGAUGUUUAAGUCCAGACACCUUUCUCACAUGAGUACUUGUAGACUGUAAUAAGCUACCAGGGGGCAUGCAUAUUAUGAUAGGCCUACCCAUUGGCUAUCGCCAAAACGUCAUUUUUGGCGAUCGAAGAACUGGCUGCAAACUUUAGUCAGCUACACACAACUUUAGACUUAGACAGCGAAACUAUCACACAGGUCGAUAAUUUUGUAUGUGCCAUAGUACGUUUUUGUUAUUCAAAAUUAAAUCUAAUUGUAAGGCUAAACAAACAGCUCGACCAAGAUGCCCUGUAUCAACAUUGAUCAACAAUCACAGAAAACUAGUUUCAAUAUAACUUUAUUAACAAUCACGAUUAUUAAUAAAGGAAAUAGGAGUAUAGGAAAUUGUGUAUUAAUUACAAAUAAGUAUAUAAAAGUAGAUUAGUGGAAAUACAAGGUCAUGUUUUAUUAUUAACAAUACAGGGCUAAUACUUCAUAUUAUUCAUGAUGGAAUACGUGAAAAUAUAUUAACGAACACGUUUAGCAUGACGUCUGUUUCGGGUCACAAGGGCAUUAGUUCCAUGUCGCGCCUUUGCCGCUCCAAAUAGAAGAUGUAUACAUACAAUUAACGCGAAAUUGAAAAAA